GUUUUAAUGCAUUAUGCCAAAGUAUAUUUUCACCAGGUAUAAGAAGAUCUUCAUGACUCACCAAUUUACAACCAGACCUUUCAUGAUCCAGAACCCAGACAAUGAGUUUUUGAAAGCAGCUCAAAUGCAAAGUCAAGAGACUGCCCUUGAACAACUUUGGAAGGCACUAUACCAAGUUCUUCUUACCACCCAUAGAGCAAUAAAACUUCACGGCUUGGAUCCACUCCUUUCAGCCCAGGAGGGCCCCUCCAGACUCGGGACUGUACACUCACCAGAGAUCUCAAGAAGAAAGAAUUCGACUCAGGAGCAUAAGACAGAGGAACGACCAAGGCAAGUUUCAGAGCAGGAGUGGAAGUUUAUUAAAAAGCUUUAGAGCAGUAAGGACAAAAAGGAAAGGAAAGAGAAGGAAAGACUUGGAAGAGGGCCAAGUGGGCGACUGGAGAAACCAGCUGAACCUCAGCCUGAUCUUGAUCUAACAAUCUGCCAAGUCCUUUUACUUUGCACCUGGAUCCAACUUUUCUCUGUCACCCUCAACAACAUCAAUCAUCAUCAUUAUCAUCAUCAUUACAAGAUUAACAACAGCAACUGCAUCAGUAACAACAGCAUCUGCAUCUAUCAUUUUUUUUCAUCUGUUACAAUGAAGUACGUCACCUAUCAUAAAUUAGUUCUACUGACCCUUAUAUUUCCAUCUCCCUUCACUUUUUGAAACACUAUUUUUCUUCUCAGUUAUCUCUAUUCUUCUGCACUAUCAAUCUUUCCUGAGUCGAUUGUAGCAAGCAAUAUAACAAUCCACUCAAAUAUUAUAAUACAUUAUAUAUAACGGUAAAAGAACAUGUUGUACUGUUCUUUUGAAAAUUUCAUAAGCAAAUGGGGAACAAAGUAAAGUUUACAAAUUUAAAAAGAAAAUAAAUUCUAAAGAUAAACUCAGGAAAUCCCACUGAGAGCCAGAAAACUUGAACAUUCAAUCUAAGGAAUAAUUUAUGCAUUGCAAUUUCAUCUUAUCUCAUUGUGGUAUUAUUAAUGCCUUGAAGAUACUUCUCUGCAGUUAUAUUACAGGAAACAGUGACAAGACUGUUAAGCUAUAAUCAUAAGUGUAAAACAAAUUUUUCUGAAGUCUUAAGGCAAUAAUAACUUGUAUAUCUAUAAAAUUACAAAAAAUUUACAAGUUGGUCAAUUUCAUUUAAUAUUAAUCCCAGAAAAAUAUCUCAAUUAUUUUUCAAAAUAGUGUACAUUACAUACCAGAAUUGUGCCUUUGAAAUAUAUUUGAACUCUUCCAAAGAAAAAAAUCCAAACUUAAUUAUGUCUUCUGAAGCUGAUUUUUGUCAUAUAACACAUGAUAUAAUAAGUUGGAAUAUAAUAUCCUCUAUUUCACAAGAUUGCUGCAAAAAUACAAUGAGAUAUACUGGUUUAUAUAUCUUUAAAAGAGAUAAUAUGUAAAGUGUCUUAUAGGGUUUCUGAAAUACAGCAUGUAUUUUAAAAUGU